AGACAGGCCUGAUGAACAAAGCGCAGGGUCCCUGUGCAGCGACAUGGUGUGAUGAGGGGACUUUCAUCAUCGCCCUCACAGUGACAGAUCCUGACAGGAAGGACAGCAAGACUUUCUGUCUGUUGAUUGUGUGAGCACUCCUCUACCUGAAUAUUUCAGAAUAUGCGAGAUCACGAAUUUGAAGAAAAACUCACCACAGAUCAUGAAUCAAUUAGGUGCAACGACCUGUUCUGAAAACCAGAAACUACGGCCUAUACUGAAUUGGUAGUAAUGCUGCCUAAACGAGCAUAUUAACACUGGUUGUUCAAAGCACAUCUCCACUGAUAGUGAGCCUGGGGGCUUUCAACUUUCUUCAGUUAAACAUGUCUGCCUGAAAAGUUUGCAUGCACACCCAAAAGGCUCAUCCUUGAAAAAAAGCCUGACAAACAGUGCCUGAAUAAUUAUAAUAAAAU